GUGAGGAAUUUUCCGCAAUGGGCGAAAGCCUGACGGAGCAAUGCCGCGUGAAGGAUGAAGGCCUAUGGGUUGUAAACUUCUUUUCUCAGAAAAGAAUUAUGACGGUAUCUGAGGAAUAAGCAUCGGCUAACUCUGUGCCAGCAGCCGCGGUAAGACAGAGGAUGCAAGCGUUAUCCGGAAUGAUUGGGCGUAACGCGUCUGUAGGUUGUUUAAAAAGUAUUCUGUCAAAGAUUAGGGCUUAACCCUAGAUAGGCAGAAUAAACUUUUAAGCUAGAGUUUGGUAGAGGCAGAGGGAAUUCCCGGUGGAGCGGUGAAAUGCGUAGAUAUCGGGAGGAACACCAAAGGCGAAGGCACUCUGCUGGGCCAAUACUAACACUGAGAGACGAAAGCGAGGGGAGCAAAUGGGAUUAGAAACCCCUGUAGUCC
rnacentral:rRNA from 1 species